rnacentral:rRNA from 1 species
UGGAANUGGGGGAACCCUGAUCCAGCCAUGCCGCGUGAGUGAUGAAGGCCCUAGGGUUGUAAAACUCUUUCGGCAGGGACGAUAAUGACGGUACCUGAAGAAGAAGCUGCGGCUAACUACGUGCCAGCAGCCGCGGUAAUACGUAGGCAGCGAGCGUUGUUCGGAAUUACUGGGCGUAAAGAGUGUGUAGGCGGUGCUCUAAGUUCGGUGUGAAAUCUCCUGGCUUAACUGGGAGGGUGCGCCGGAAACUGGAGUGCUCGAGCGUGGGAGAGGAAAGCGGAAUUCCUGGUGUAGCGGUGAAAUGCGUAGAUAUCAGGAGGAACACCUGCGGUGUAGACGGCUUUCUGGACCAUUGCUGACGCUGAGACACGAAAGCGUGGGUAGCAAACAGGAUUAGAUACCCUGGUAGUCCACGCCCUAAACGAUGCAUACUUGGUGUCGGCCAUUCAGUUGGUCGGUGCCGGAGCUAACGCGUUAAGUAUGCCGCCUGGGGAGUACGGUCGCAAGGCUGAAACUCAAAAAAAUUGACGGA